AGUUUGAUCCUGGCUCAGGAUGAACGCUAGCUACAGGCUUAACACAUGCAAGUCGAGGGGCAGCAUUUUAGUUUGCUUGCAAACUAAAGAUGGCGACCGGCGCACGGGUGAGUAACACGUAUCCAACCUGCCGAUAACUCGGGGAUAGCCUUUCGAAAGAAAGAUUAAUAUCCGAUAGUAUAUUAAAACCGCAUGGUUUUACUAUUAAAGAAUUUCGGUUAUCGAUGGGGAUGCGUUCCAUUAGUUUGUUGGCGGGGUAACGGCCCACCAAGACUACGAUGGAUAGGGGUUCUGAGAGGAAGGUCCCCCACAUUGGAACUGAGACACGGUCCAAACUCCUACGGGAGGCAGCAGUGAGGAAUAUUGGUCAAUGGACGAGAGUCUGAACCAGCCAAGUAGCGUGAAGGAUGACUGCCCUAUGGGUUGUAAACUUCUUUUAUAUGGGAAUAAAGUAUUCCACGUGUGGGAUUUUGUAUGUACCAUAUGAAUAAGGAUCGGCUAACUCCGUGCCAGCAGCCGCGGUAAUACGGAGGAUCCGAGCGUUAUCCGGAUUUAUUGGGUUUAAAGGGAGCGUAGGUGGAUUGUUAAGUCAGUUGUGAAAGUUUGCGGCUCAACCGUAAAAUUGCAGUUGAAACUGGCAGUCUUGAGUACAGUAGAGGUGGGCGGAAUUCGUGGUGUAGCGGUGAAAUGCUUAGAUAUCACGAAGAACUCCGAUUGCGAAGGCAGCUCACUAGACUGCAACUGACACUGAUGCUCGAAAGUGUGGGUAUCAAACAGGAUUAGAUACCCUGGUAGUCCACACAGUAAACGAUGAAUACUCGCUGUUUGCGAUAUACAGUAAGCGGCCAAGCGAAAGCAUUAAGUAUUCCACCUGGGGAGUACGCCGGCAACGGUGAAACUCAAAGGAAUUGACGGGGGCCCGCACAAGCGGAGGAACAUGUGGUUUAAUUCGAUGAUACGCGAGGAACCUUACCCGGGCUUAAAUUGCAUUUGAAUAAUCUGGAAACAGGUUAGCCGCAAGGCAAAUGUGAAGGUGCUGCAUGGUUGUCGUCAGCUCGUGCCGUGAGGUGUCGGCUUAAGUGCCAUAACGAGCGCAACCCUUAUCUUUAGUUACUAACAGGUCAUGCUGAGGACUCUAGAGAGACUGCCGUCGUAAGAUGUGAGGAAGGUGGGGAUGACGUCAAAUCAGCACGGCCCUUACGUCCGGGGCUACACACGUGUUACAAUGGGGGGUACAGAAGGCAGCUACCUGGCGACAGGAUGCUAAUCCCAAAAACCUCUCUCAGUUCGGAUCGAAGUCUGCAACCCGACUUCGUGAAGCUGGAUUCGCUAGUAAUCGCGCAUCAGCCAUGGCGCGGUGAAUACGUUCCCGGGCCUUGUACACACCGCCCGUC
rnacentral:rRNA from 1 species